AGAUAUGAUCCAGAGUACCACGGGACACGUGAAACCCUGUGGGAAGCAGGAGGGACCACCCUCCAAGGCUAAAUACUACCUAGUGACCGAUAGCGUAUAGUACCGUGAGGGAAAGGUGAAAAGAACCCCGGGAGGGGAGUGAAAUAGAACCUGAAACCCUGCACUUACAAGCUGUGGAAGCACAUUUCUUGUGUGACCGCGUACUUUUUGUAGAACGGGCCAACGAGUUACGUUAAGUAGCAAGGUUAAGCACUUAAGGUGCGGAGCCGUAGCGAAAGCGAGUUUUAACUGAGCGUUCAGUUACUUGACGUAGACCCGAAACCGGGCGACCUACCCAUGAGCAGGAUGAAGCGAAAGUAAAAUUUCGUGGAGGUCCGAACCCACGAGCGUUGAAAAGCUCGGGGAUGACUUGUGGGUAGCGGUGAAAUUCCAAUCGAGCCCGGAGAUAGCUGGUUCUCCCCGAAAUAGCUUUAGGGCUAGCCUCAAGGUGAGAGAUACGGAGGUAGAGCACUGAAUGUCCUAGGGGGUAUUGCACCUACCGAAGACUAUCAAACUCCGAAUGCCGUCAUCUUAUACUUGGGAGUCAGACUGUGGGUGAUAAGAUUCAUAGUCGAAAGGGCAACAGCCCAGAUCGUCAGCUAAGGUCCCUAAAUGUAAGUUAAGUGGUAAAGGAUGUGGGAUUGCACAGACAACCAGGAUGUUGGCUUAGAAGCAGCCACUCAUUCAAAGAGUGCGUAAUAGCUCACUGGUCGAGUGAUCCUGCGCCGAAGAUUUCCGGGGCUAAAACUUACUACCGAAGCUACGGCAUCAGUAAUGAUGGGUAGGGGAGCUUCCCAUACGGGUUGAAGCAUGACCGUAAGGACAUGUGGACAGUAUGGGAGUGAGAAUGUUGGCAUGAGUAGCGAGAUGUGGGUGAGAAUCCCACAGGCCGUAAACCCAAGGUUUCCAGGGGAAGGUUCGUCCGCCCUGGGUUAGUCGGGACCUAAGCUGAGGCCGAAAGGCGUAGGUGAUGGACAACAGGUUGAUAUUCCUGUACUACCGAUAACCGUUUGAGAGAAGGGAUGACACAGUAGGAUAAGCUAAGCACACUGUUGGUUAUGUGUGCCCAAGCAUUGAGGCAGUCAAAGUAGGCAAAUCCGCUUUGAUAAUGCUGGGAUGUGAUGGGGAGCGAAAUUUAGUAGCGAAGUAGCUGAUUUCACACUGUCAAGAAAAGUCUCUAUCGAGGUUAAAGGUACCCGUACCGCAAACCGACACAGGUGGGUGAGGAGAGUAUCCUAAGGCCAGCGAGAGAACUGUUGUUAAGGAACUCGGCAAAAUGACCCCGUAACUUAGGGAUAAGGGGUGCCACCAUCAGGUGGCCGCAGAGAAUAGGCCCAAGCGACUGUUUACCAAAAACAUAGGUUUCUGCUAAGUCGCAAGACGAUGUAUAGGAGCUGACGCCUGCCCGGUGCUGGAAGGUUAAGGGGAUCUGUUAGAGCAAUCGAAGCAGUGAACUUAAGCCCCAGUAAACGGCGGCCGUAACUAUAACGGUCCUAAGGUAGCGAAAUUCCUUGUCGGGUAAGUUCCGACCCGCACGAAAGGCGUAACGAUUUGGGCACUGUCUCAACAACAGACUCGGUGAAAUUGUAAUUCCGGUGAAGAUGCCGGAUACCUGCGACAGGACGGAAAGACCCCAUGGAGCUUUACUGUAGCUUGACAUUGGGUCUUGGUACUACAUGUACAGGAUAGGUGGGAGGCUUUGAAACCAGGACGCCAGUUUUGGCGGAGCCAUCCUUGGGAUACCACCCUUGUAGUACUGGGACUCUAACCAUAGGCCAUGAAUCUGGUCUUGGGACACUGUCAGGUGGGCAGUUUGACUGGGGCGGUCGCCUCCCAAAAGGUAACGGAGGCGCUCAAAGGUUCUCUCAGUACGGUCGGAAAUCGUACGUAGAGUGUAAAGGCAAAAGAGAGCUUGAUUGCAAGACAUACAGGUCGAGCAAGGAUGAAAAUCGGACUUAGUGAUCCGGUGGUUCUGCGUGGAAGGGCCAUCGCUCAACGGAUAAAAGCUACCCUGGGGAUAACAGGCUUAUCUCCCCCAAGAGUCCACAUCGACGGGGAGGUUUGGCACCUCGAUGUCGGCUCAUCACAUCCUGGGGCUGUAGUAGGUCCCAAGGGUUGGGCUGUUCGCCCAUUAAAGUGGUACGCGAGCUGGGUUCAGAACGUCGUGAGACAGUUCGGUCCCUAUCCGUCGCAGGCGUAGGAAAUUUGAGAAGACCUGUCCUUAGUACGAGAGGACCGGGAUGGACGUACCUCUGGUGUACCAGUUGUUCUGCCAAGGGCAUGGCUGGGUAGCUAUGUACGGAAUGGAUAAGCGCUGAAAGCAUCUAAGCGCGAAGCCAACUUCAAGAUAAGAUUUCCCACCGCAAGGGUAAGACCCCAGAAAGACUAUCUGGUUGAUAGGUCGAAGGUGUAAGUGCAGCAAUGUAUUUAGCUUAUCGAUACUAAUAGGUCGAGGACUUGACCAA
rnacentral:rRNA from 1 species